rnacentral:rRNA from 1 species
UACAGAGGGGGCAAGCGUUGUUCGGAAUUACUGGGCGUAAAGGGCGCGUAGGCGGCCUUCUAAGUCGAACGUGAAAUCCCCGGGCUCAACCCGGGAACUGCGUCCGAUACUGGAAGGCUUGAAUCCGGGAGAGGGAUGCGGAAUUCCAGGUGUAGCGGUGAAAUGCGUAGAUAUCUGGAGGAACACCUGCGGUGUAGACGGCUUACUGGACCAUGACUGACGCUGAGGCACGAAAGCGUGGGGAGCAAACAGG